AGCUUGUAGGAUUCUUGGACUACAAGGGAAUGAUCCAAUUCUUGAAAUAAUUGAACUAAAGAAAAUGAGAAAAAAUCAUCUGAUAGUUUACAUCAUAAUGUCUAAAAUCUUCAUUAUCAAUGCUAUUAGAUAUCCGAAAAGACAUUUGUCUGCCGGUCGGUGAACAAUGAGGCUUUUGAAUACCAAGGAGAAGAAGAAAGAUUGCAUGCUUAUGACGUCUGCAAAAUGUGACUAACACGCAGGAUAAUAAGCUUUACCUGCUGUCUGGUCAGGCUCAGAUAUGUUGGCACCAGGAGAUUCCAGAAAGGUGCCAUAUCUUGAACUGUUUCAGACGUCCAGUUUAAUGGAUUUCUACAAAAAACGAAGAUACUCUGAUAAUAUAGCGAGACAACGUGUCCUAUCUGUGGACACAGAGCU